rnacentral:snoRNA from 1 species
GGCCUUGAAGGUCUUAUUACAAGCUGUGUUCUUACGCUAACUGUGCGGAAAGAGCAGUCAGAGGAAACCUACCCUGUUGUAUCUCAGCCCAGGUCCUGGAAUGUGCUAGGAAAAUCCUGC